rnacentral:rRNA from 1 species
AUUGAACGCAGGCGGCAGGCCUAACACAUGCAAGUCGAGCGGUAGAGAGAAGCUUGCUUCUCUUGAGAGCGGCGGACGGGUGAGUAAUGCCUAGGAAUCUGCCUGGUAGUGGGGGAUAACGUUCGGAAACGGACGCUAAUACCGCAUACGUCCUACGGGAGAAAGCAGGGGACCUUCGGGCCUUGCGCUAUCAGAUGAGCCUAGGUCGGAUUAGCUAGUUGGUGGGGUAAUGGCUCACCAAGGCGACGAUCCGUAACUGGUCUGAGAGGAUGAUCAGGCACACUGGAACUGAGACACGGUCCAGACUCCGACGGGAGGCAGCAGUGGGGAAUAUUGGACAAUGGGCGAAAGCCUGAUCCAGCCAUGCCGCGUGUGUGAAGAAGGUCUUCGGAUUGUAAAGCACUUUAAGUCGGGAGGAAGGGCUGUAGGCUAAUACCUUGCAGUUUUGACGUUACCGACAGAAUAAGCACCGGCUAACUUCGUGCCAGCCGCCGCAGUAA